AUUGAACGCUGGCGGCAUGCUUUACACAUGCAAGUCGAACGGUAACAGGCCUUCGGGUGCUGACGAGUGGCGAACGGGUGAGUAAUGCAUCGGAACGUACCCAGAGGUGGGGGAUAACGCAGCGAAAGCUGUGCUAAUACCGCAUGUGAUCUGAGGAUGAAAGCGGGGGACCGAGCAGCAAUGUUUGGCCUCGCGCCUCUGGAGCGGCCGAUGUCGGAUUAGCUAGUUGGUGGGGUAAAGGCCUACCAAGGCGACGAUCCGUAGCUGGUCUGAGAGGACGACCAGCCACACUGGGACUGAGACACGGCCCAGACUCCUACGGGAGGCAGCAGUGGGGAAUUUUGGACAAUGGGCGCAAGCCUGAUCCAGCAAUGCCGCGUGCGGGAAGAAGGCCUUCGGGUUGUAAACCGCUUUUGGCAGGAACGAAACGGUGUCCGCUAAUACCGGGCGCUAAUGACGGUACCUGCAGAAUAAGCACCGGCUAACUACGUG
rnacentral:rRNA from 1 species